CAGCACCUCAAGUGGUCAGGAUGAUUAUUGGGCCUAAAGCAUCCGUAGCCGGCUCUGUAAGUUUUCGGUUAAAUCUGUACGCUCAACGUACAGGCUGCCGGGAAUACUGCAGAGCUAGGGAGUGGGAGAGGUAGACGGUACUCGGUAGGAAGGGGUAAAAUCCUUUGAUCUAUUGAUGACCACCUGUGGCGAAGGCGGUCUACCAGAACACGUCCGACGGUGAGGGAUGAAAGCUGGGGGAGUAAACCGGAUUAGAUACCCGAGUAGUCC
rnacentral:rRNA from 1 species